rnacentral:SRP_RNA from 1 species
GCCGGGCGUGGUGGCGCGCGCCUGUAGUCCCAGCUACUCGGGAGGCUGAGGCUGGAGGAUCGCUUGAGCUCAGGAGUUCUGGGCUGCAGUGCGCUAUGCCGAUCGGGUGUCCGCACUAAGUUCGGCAUCAAUAUGGUGACCUCCCGGGAGCGGGGGACCACCAGGUUGCCUAAGGAGGGGUGAACCGGCCCAGGUCGGAAACGGAGCAGGUCAAAACUCCCGUGCUGAUCAGUAGUGGGAUCGCGCCUGUGAAUAGCCACUGUACUCCAGCCUGGGCAACAUAGCGAGACCCCGUCUCU